AUCGCUUCUCUGCCUUUUGGCUAAGAUCAAGUGUACUGUAGUAUCUGUUCUUAUCAGUUUAAUAUCUGAUACGUCUCCCAUCCGGGGACUUCAUAUUAAAUGGAUUUUUAGAUCAUGGAGCUGAAUCACUUCUCAGCUCUAAAGCUGCUCCUGAAGCUCGGAUUCACACUAUUGAUCCUGGUGUGUUCAGAGACUCA